rnacentral:RNase_P_RNA from 1 species
GGAGUCGGCUACGUGGUCGCGGCGCCGUCUAACGGCGUCGAGGAAAGUCCGGGCUCCAUAGGGCGGGAUGCCAGGUAACGCCUGGGCAGCGUGAGCUGACGGAAAGUGCAGCAGAAAAUAAACCGCCGCACGUUCGGCGUGUGGUAAGGGUGAAAUGGUGCGGUAAGAGCGCACCGCGCGAUCGGUAACGAUUCGUGGCACGGCAAACCCCAUCCGGAGCAAGACCGAAUAGGAGGCAGCGCGUAGCCCGCGCGGGCCUCGGGUAGGUCGCACGAGGCUGGCGGUGACGCCAGCCCGAGAUGAAUGACCGCGCACGACAGAACCCGGCUUAUCGGCUGGCUCCCCGC